GUAACAAGGUUUCCGUAGGUGAACCUGCGGAAGGAUCAUUACCGAGUGCGGGCCCUCGUGGCCCAACCUCCCACCCUUGUCUCUAUACACCUGUUGCUUUGGCGGGCCCACCGGGGCCACCUGGUCGCCGGGGGACAUCUGUCCCCGGGCCCGCGCCCGCCGAAGCGCUCUGUGAACCCUGAUGAAGAUGGGCUGUCUGAGUACUAUGAAAAUUGUCAAAACUUUCAACAAUGGAUCUCUUGGUUCCGGCAUCGAUGAAGAACGCAGCGAAAUGCGAUAAGUAAUGUGAAUUGCAGAAUUCCGUGAAUCAUCGAAUCUUUGAACGCACAUUGCGCCCCCUGGCAUUCCGGGGGGCAUGCCUGUCCGAGCGUCAUUUCUGCCCUCAAGCACGGCUUGUGUGUUGGGUGCGGUCCCCCCGGGGACCUGCCCGAAAGGCAGCGGCGACGUCCGUCUGGUCCUCGAGCGUAUGGGGCUUUGUCACUCGCUCGGGAAGGACUGGCGGAGGUUGGUCACCACCAAAAUUUUACCACGGUUGACCUCGGAUCAGGUAGGAGUUACCCGCUGAACUUAAGCAUAUC
rnacentral:misc_RNA from 1 species